AACGAACGCUGGCGGCAGGCCUAAAACAUGCAAGUCGAGGGGGCGUAGCAAUACGUCACCGGCGCACGGGUGAGUAACACGUGGGAAUGUGCCCUUGGGUAAGGAAUAACGUUUGGAAACGAACGCUAAUGCCUUAUAAUGUAGCGAUACCAAAGAUUUAUCGCCCAAGGAUCAGCCCGCGUUAGAUUAGCUUGUUGGUGGGGUAACGGCCUACCAAGGCUCCGAUCUAUAGCUGGUCUGAGAGGAUGAUCAGCCACACUGGAACUGAGACACGGUCCAGACUCCUACGGGAGGCAGCAGUUAGGAAUAUUGGACAAUGGGCGAAAGCCUGAUCCAGCCAUGCCGCGUGAACGAUGAAGGCCUUAGGGUUGUAAAGUUCUUUUAGAGGUGAAGAUAAUGACGGUAGCCUCAGAAAAAGCUCCGGCUAACUCCGUGCCAGCCGCCGCCGUAA
rnacentral:rRNA from 1 species